UUUUCAUGGAAAGAUGAAUUUUUAGAAUUUAAUAAUUGGUUACCGUCUAAAGAUAUUUCUGUUGACCAUGCGGAGGUGUAGACAUUUCCCUGUUGCCCUCUGUACCCAGAAAAAUGAAAUCUACUCAGUAAUGUAUGACUAAUUGCUCCCGUCACAGGCAAAACAUGUAUCAACAGGCUAAAGACAUUCCACAGGAAACACAUGACUCUGUGCUCAUAUCUGAUGGAAGAAAAAUAGAAAAGGAAAUGCAGUAAGGUUUGCAGUCUCAUAACCUUUUCUCCUCAAACCCCACAUACUCUUUGAUAUUGUUGGAUCCCAAGACAGAUUUGAAAAUCCCCUCCUUGCUUAAAGCACCAUUGUUAAACUUAGCACUGAAUUGUCUCUCUUUGUGGAUUUGGGUUGGCUUCUUUGCUAAAUGAAUUACUUCUGCAAGAAAUGUGAUCUCCUUCAUGCUGGGGUUGAUGUUUCAGCUACACCAAACCUCCUGUACCAAGCCCCACCUGGGCUAUGGGGAUAGACCUACCUGUUUCUGGGGGCUGGAAUGUGCUUUCCUAAAGCCCGCACAAAGUUUUUUCCUAGCCUGGAGUGGUGGUGCAUGCCUGUAAUCCCAGGAGGACUGAGAGUUCAAAGCCAGCCUCAGCAAUAGUGAGGCGCUAAGCAACUCAGUGGGACCCUGUCUCAAAAUACAAAAUAGGGCUGGGGAUGUGGCUCAUUGGUUGAGUGCCCUCAGUGCAAUUGCUGGUAACCCCUUCCCACCAAAAAAAGGGCUGGGAAUGUGGUUCAGUGGUUAAGGGAUCAAUCCCUGGUACCCCAAACAAACAAAAACCUUAUUCUCUCACUUCAUGCAGGCUUCUGCUCAGAUGCUCCUGUGUGUCAGAGAGGCCUCCAACUACUCUACCAAAAAGAGAUCCACUAGAGAAACUUUGGGUCAUGGCUGGUGGUGGUGAUAGUUGUAAGCCUACUUAAAUAGAUUGAAUUUUACACUGAAAAUUGCUCACAUGGUAAAUCUUAUGUACAUUUUACUACAAUAAAA
rnacentral:lncRNA from 1 species